UUCCACAGCCACUGGGCUGCAGCUGUUCUUACGGUGGCAGUUGUGGCAUUCCUCUGUGGGAAAGAAACUGUUGCACAGUUAAACUCCUCUUUCUUUGCAAAACAGAAAGUGGGCACGUGUGUGACAAACACAA